UGUUUCAGGUUGUAAGGGGCAGCUGCAUUCUUUCAAGGAGGUGCACGCUGGCGGCCUGUGAAGCAGGGCACAGGCUUCAGGGAGACGGUGAAUGCACAGUGAUGGAAAGUCAGCUCUGCCCAGCUGCCACUUGCUGCCCAGUCCAUAGGCUGCCAUCUUAGGAGCAGUUCGAAUACAAGAUUUGGUGGAUCAAACCCGCAGAGGGUCUAUAUUGAGCAAAUUCACAAAUACAGGCCCAAAAGAGGAAGUGGGAAGAGCACCCAUGUGAAGCCACAAGAAGUGGGGAAGUAACCUACUUUGCAUCCACGGUCGGCUCUUGUUGAGCUCAAGAAACCGCAUAGGACCUACCAGCUGCCUAGGAAAACAGCAGAUCCCAGAUGUACCACUUACAGUUGUCUCUAUCUUCAGAUAAUUGACUCCAGAACUCUGUGUAAAUACAAAAUCCCGGGAUGCUCCGGUGCUGCAGGUAAAGUGGUGUAUUUGCACAUAGCAUAUCCAGUCUUCCUGUAUACUUUAACUCAUCCUUAAACUACUUCUAAUACCAUAUAAAUGUUGCAUAAGAGUUGCUACACUGUGAGGUCUAGGAAAUGACGGCAAGGAAAAGCCACCUGGACCUCUGAGUAUCGAUGCUACCUUCUUAGGCCAUAGUACACAAUCCUUGGUUAGUUGAAUGGAUAGAUUCAGAUCCCAUAGAUGCACAAGGCCUUUCUUGCAGGGUUCCCACUCCUGGAAUUCCAUUAGGAUUCAUUGCUAGAAGGCAUCAGCUGACACAGUUUACUUAGUUCUUCCCUGUCCUUGGAGAGGGUUACA